rnacentral:rRNA from 1 species
GACGUAGGGUGCAAGCGUUGUCCGGAUUUACUGGGCGUAAAGAGUGCGUAGGCGGUCCGUUAAGUGUGAAGCUAAAUCUCUUGGCUCAACCAAGAACUAUUUCGCAUACUGACGGGCUGGAGUGAUGCAGAGGUGGAUAGAAUUCCCGGUGUAGCGGUGAAAUGCGUUGAUAUCGGGAGGAAUACCCGUGGCGAAGGCGGUCCACUGGGCAUCAACUGACGCUGAGGCGCGAAAGCGUGGGUAGCAAACAGG